rnacentral:lncRNA from 1 species
CCCACACACGAAGCGAUUUUAGAAGGGCGAUUUGAGAAGCGCGACUCCAAAGUCAAUGCAAGUCUAUUGGAGCCUUCAGACGUGGUCGCGACUCGCUGGGUUGGAAGCGUGAAGAGCGAUUCCCGAGCGACUUGAGUUACAUAUUUUACUAUGAAGCCCCACAUACGAGGCGACAGCUUCCCGCGAUUUCAUCACUACUUGCAUCUCAUUGGCUGGUCGGGGUGAGAUUAGAGCCAAUGAGCGAUCAGGCAGAGUUUUCCUCCACGUGGAGUCCGAGCGCGGGGCAGCUGGGAGGGGGAGUGCGGGAUAACUGGUGACAUCCGGCUUGCAGGAGUGCAUCACAACCACGCAUAGCAAGAUGAGUGACCAGGGAUCUGCUGACCGCUUUGAUACCGAAUUAUUAAUAGAUGAAAUAUAAAUAGCUUCCCGCGUCAUUGGUGGGUGUUAUGGCCAAUGAGAGAGCAGUCCACGUGGGUACAGUAGCGGGGAUUUGGGGGUAUGCUGUCGUUGCUACACCAGUCGCUGUGUGUGUGGGGUCAACCCAGAAUCGCGCUUCUCAAGUCGUGCUUCUAAAAUCGCUUCGUGUGUGGGGGCCUAAGAGUGCAUUAAUCAACAGUUAAUGGGCAACUUCGCCAAUCUAGGGUAUUGAGGAAGGACCAACACUUGCAGCUGGAUUUACCUUGUCGACUCCACAUCUUUGUCAACGGCUAGAUUGCCUUCUACAUAGUGUAACAUGUGAAAUGCCUGACCAGGAAACUUCACAAGAAUGUUUCCGGAAGCACUGCAGCAUCAUGAAAACAUCACUGGUUCAUAUGUCAUCGUGUAGUGAGUUUACAUCAUGUUCAAAUGUAAUAUGUCUGCUCUUUAGUCCGCUGUUAUCACACUGGAAAGGUUGUUGUGGUCCCUGUUCCAUCUGUGGACCAAUUAAUGUGAAGUACAAUAAGAAAAAAAUUUUGAGCAAGAUUCAUCCAAAUAUUGUAACAAGUGAUGGAAAACUGAUAAAUGUUGCAUUUGAAGAGUAUGAAAAAAUAGAUGAUUGGAGGAUACGAGCCAUUCCAUAUCAUCUCAGGGAGUAUAUGAUGGCAGAUAAGUCAUCACAUUCUGCAGUAGUUCAGCAAUAUUUAAGUAAGAAAGCUGAAGGAAUAGGGUGUUUUUCUUCUGGGCUUACCUGGAACCAGUUGCCUGGCAUAGACUUUGAUUUGAAUAAGUUAGUAAGAAAAUAGUGAAAACCAUAUUUUAUCAAUAAUCCCACACCUAUUAUGUCUUAUUCAUUGAAAACUUCAUGAGUACCAUAUUCUGGUGACAGUCAUCAAAAUCAAGUUAUGGAAGAUUUAGUUAAUGAGAAAUUUAUAUGUCUUGGUAUUAUGAUGAAAUUCAACUGAAUAUAAUGUUUUAGAAAGCAUAAUAUAAAUAUAGUGAUGACAAUGCUAGUAUUGCAUAGAGACAAGUUUGUGUGAAAGGGAAGCCAUAUAUGUGGCAAGUUUUUAUAACCGUUACAAUUUGAAUUAUGACAUAACCUAUCAGGUGUUAUGAAUUAUGACAGUUAUGAAUUAUGACAGAACCUAUCAGGUGUUACAGCUUUAAUUUUCAUGCAAGAAAACUGUGUGCAACUAUGUGAACAAUGUAUAUGUCACGAUAAUAAAUAUUUUUUAGAGCAUAUACCCUAUAUAUCUUUAUAUUUUAAAAGAUUUGAAGCCCUUCACAAAUUUUGUAAUCAUUAAAGCACUUACGUGGCUUAAAACUUCAAAUUUGUAAUCAUUCCAUAAAAGGUUGAUUUGACAAUUGUCUCAUAAAGUAUCUUUGAAAAGCAAAGUUGUUUCAUGAUGAAAUUCAUCAUUGUGUUUGAAAACUGAUAGAUAUCUGGAAACUCAUGAAAUUUGUAUUACAUAAUUUGGAAAUUCAUGGUAUGCUGGUUACUUUACUUGAACAACUGUCGGGAAAGUUUUAAAUGUCAUAUUGUCAUAUCUUUUAUACUUUGUUAAAAGCAUUAUCACUUACAUCUUUUAUAGUUACUUGUAAAUACCUUGAUUUUUCACUGUAACAAAUUUUUGUAUUGUGAAAAAUUAAAGAAAAAGAUAUUUUAAUGAUUUAUUUUAAUACCCACAUAAAUUGGAUUGCAUUCUUCAUCAGUUGUUACAUAUAUAAUUAUUUCUUACAUAAUUAGCUGACUAUAUCUUAAUAUUUGCUAGCAACAAGGCUCCACAUGGGCAUACAAACUACACACACCUACAGGAGCACAGUUUAUAUACAAAAAAAUUAAAUGUUCAAAUAUAGUUUGUGAAAAAAUUUUGAGCCUUACUAAUGAAAACCAUAUAUGACUAAACUUUUUCUAUCAUCUCAGGAACUGCUUUGAAGAGAUCUGCCAC